rnacentral:rRNA from 1 species
CCUACGGGAGGCAGCAGUGAGGAAUAUUGGUCAAUGGACGAGAGUCUGAACCAGCCAAGUAGCGUGAAGGAUGACUGCCCUAUGGGUUGUAAACUUCUUUUAUAUGGGAAUAAAACGUUCCACGUGUGGGAUUUUGUAUGUACCAUAUGAAUAAGGAUCGGCUAACUCCGUGCCAGCAGCCGCGGUAAUACGGAGGAUCCGAGCGUUAUCCGGAUUUAUUGGGUUUAAAGGGAGCGUAGGUGGAUUGUUAAGUCAGUUGUGAAAGUUUUCGGCUCAACCGUAAAAUUGCAGUUGAAACUGGCAGUCUUGAGUCCAGUAGAGGUGGGCGGAAUUCGUGGUGUAGCGGUGAAAUGCUUAGAUAUCACGAAGAACCCCGAUUGCGAAGGCAGUUCACUGCACUGCAACUGACACUGAGGCUCGAAAGUGUGGGUAUCAAACAGGACUAGAUACCCCGGUAGUC